CAUUUUUAAAUACUUUUAGUUCACAUUUUUUAAUGUUUAAAAACUAUGUUAACAGAGCAGUUAUAGAACAGAACUUCUUAUAUUUCUUUAUUUACACCACACUCUGAAAAAAAAAACCCAGUUCUAUUUGAUUAACUAUGAAUAGCAAAGUUUUGUGACUUGUGACUCACUUAAAUCACCCAUCUGAAAUUCAUUUACAAGGUUUUUACAUUAAUAAAACAGUAGUGUGGUACAUGUAUUGGACUCAGAUGAAGUCUAAAGUACACUGGACUCUAGAGAGUGGAUUACAUACCAACGACCAAGAUUCAAGUGUUUGGGGAAAAAAAUACCUUAGACAGUCUAUGUUGGCGUCAACACUAAAAUAAAAGGCAAACAUGCAGGACUUUCAAAGCUUGAUUAGAUAAUGGUUCUUUGUUUUCUUUCCUUCAAAUUUGUGCUCAUAAUUAAUAUUCAGGUUCCCUCUCCCCGCUUUCAUAGAUCCCAAAGUUUGAGAAAUGCAGCAAUUCAAUUGUGAAAAAAACAUUCUUCUCCCCAGCUUCUGUUUUCAUCUGGGAGAGAAUGUAAAUUUUUCUAAUUCCCAAACAAAACCACUAAUUUCUAGGAAACAUUUAUUGUUUAUAUGCAGAUCCUAGAGACUUCUAUUUCAGUGCAGAUCAACAACUUCAAAAAUAUACAGCCUCCUAUUUAUUUACAAUAAUAUUUACAUACAAAUGAAGUAUUUCCUGCAAUAAGCCUCAGCUGCAUAGAUUCUUCCUUUAAAAACGUAAAUUUGAGCCUGUAUACAGAUGGGCCCAGUUUCAUAGCCCUUCCUUAGAUAAAAGCCUAAAGAAGGAAAAUGUCUGCACCUUGUGAACUUUACAUAUUUUGCAAGAACUUUCUCUUUGAGAUUUAGUGAUAGUUUUUAGUUGUUAGACACCCCACCUUCAGCUUGUACCUGAAAGCUUUAUCUCGUUAUAAAUAAUUCACUGUAAUUUAGGGGAAGUAUGUCCUGUUGCUAAAGGAUUCUCAAACCUGCCAUCCCCAAGGAAAAUCAUGUAUUAGUAUUGCUAAAUGAUGGUCUGUAUAUUCUUUGUUUUGAAGGUGGCUAGAUGUUUGCUGUAAACUUGAAUGGGAGAAUUAUAUUCUUAAAGUUUACACCCCCUAUAAGCCUAAAGCCAUUUAAAUUGAUAAACUGAGAGAGACUAAUAGAUUUUGCUCUAAGGUAUAAAAUCCAUUAUCUGAUCAUAUUCCUGACCUCCCCCCGACUCCAACUAAAUGUGCCAUAGUCCAACACUGUGCCUCACUGAAUUGGAACUCAGUAUUUCAUUCUUUUGAGAGCAGUUUGUAGCUCCUUAAGCAGAGCAGACCUUUCAGUAGAGAAUUCGCUUUAAAAGGAGGACAGGAUUAUCACCACACGAUUAACACAAACACUGGAGAACUUCUGACACAAAUUCAGUAUUUCUUCUAAGUCUGCAUUUACAAAGGGUCUUUUAUUUUAAUUUCUUUCACAACUGCCUCGCCCCAACCAAAGCCUCACUUUCAUUUCCUCACAGCUUUAAAAAAUAAAAUAUUAUCAUGCCUCAGCCCGAGGUAACACCGAGUGCAGGCAGCCUGUGUUUAGGAAUUUGCACCUGCGCUGCUAUUUUCAACGAGAAGGGGAUAACCAGGUGGCAGCGCUGGAUUCACUCACUUUCUUGCCAUUGCAGAGACCCCUGCCGCCAGGCUCCUUUCCUCCCCUCCCUAAAGCCUGGCUCCUGUAUGUUGCACCAUGAGUCCUAGGAAUCAUCUGGUGAGGGAGGACUAAUGGGAAGUAAAAGGGAGACUCAUUGGCUUAGGGUGGUUCUCAAACUUGAUGCGCUUUAGAAUCAUUUGCUGAGUCCCUCCCUGAGAGCUUCUGACUUCACCAUGUCUGGGAGGGGGCUGAGAAUCUGCAUUCUAAUGAGGUCCCCGAUGAUGCUGAUGCUACUGGUCUAGGGGCCACACUUUGAGAACCACUGGCUUAGAGGCAUGAAUCAAGCUCUAGAAAGCAGUCAGUUCCAGGGUAAUAGUCUUAGGUGCUCGCCGAAGCACUGAGGAAUCUUACCACAACCCUGUGUCCACCACAAGCCCUAUCACCAUCACCCAUCUGGGUGCUUCUUUUUCUCAACAGGGUCUGUAACUGUAAAAAAGGAAAGUGGGUGGAGAGGUUUUUUUUUCCCCCUUUUUUCUUGUUUUCUAACCUCCCAGCUUAUUCCUGGAGAGUUAAAACACAGUUACUAGCACUAAAAACAUUAAAAGUGCUGCGCGCUGGCCUCAAUGACUGGUACAUUGGAGAAGCUAUGCAGCAGCAUCCUUUUCUGUGGUGGGCAGGGCAGGAGAUGAACCAUAGGAGCCAAAAGUCAGACAAACAGAAGAAGGCACACCAAGCCUGAACCCUCCGGACAACAGCAGAGUUACCAGCUGAGGGAUGUCCCUGGAGGUUUCUGACCCAUGAGAGGCCCCCUCACCCUCCUUCACCCUCCUCCUACCACCAAGCUCUCCAGCAGUCAUGGACUUAUUCCUCCCCGUUUUUACUGGACACCAUGUUUCAGGCCAAUCUGGUCACCUGUAGUCUGGUGGCAUCUCUACCCCUACUGUCCAGUAGGUGGGAUGUGGCUGGGAUGGACAGUCCAGAUUCUACUAACAGGCAACUCUGAACAAACACCCUCCCUGGAAACAAUAUUAUAUUUGAUGGUUAGAUUCUUUAGCAAACCUAUUACAUUAUUCGAUGUCAGCUAACCUAUUGGUUUGAUCAUCUUUUCCAGCUGCUCUAGGGGCCUAACCACCAUGGAUAACCUGGUCUCUAAAGGAAAAUACAUUCCAGGUUGCAAACAACCAACUGACAACCUUUUGGAAUAUGAUCUCCUUAUACACUGGGGCUGCCUGUGCCUAAACACAGUAGAUUUCCCUCCUGUGCGUAUUUCAUCAGCCCCACUUCCAAUAAGUAACAUUAAGUAAAUUAGGGAUUGACAGUAUUCUGUGUUACAAUAACUAGAGAACAGUUCUAAGUCCAAAGUGUGGAACUGGCACUGUUCACUAGUAUAGAGAUCCUACCUACCAAAGGAAAACGUGCUGCUCCCCAUGCCUAGGGUAUAGUAUUCUUUAAUCUACUAAUUUAGCAGAAAAACUUCCAUAGCACUUGACUGUGCUGUUUAAAUUCGACCUAACAUCUGUGAUACAUGUAUUUUUGGCUACCAAUUAACUAUUCUGAAUAAGAAUAAGAGCAGUAUACUUUACAGCUAAUCUCACACAAAGGAUGUAACUAAUCAGUGAUAUUUGACGAAUUAUGGUAGGGUCUAUUAUAUUCAGUCAACAACAAAUUUAGAGAAACAUACAAAGGUUUUUAAAAAUAUGGGUGGUGUCACACAGAUCAACAACACUGUGCCUCCUCUAAAUAAAUCUAUUUUAAAUAAAUAUUCCUUGUAUUGACACAUGAAACCCAGAGGCCCAAAAAUAUCACUACACAUCCCAGUUAAUGAUAAGGUUCUAAAUUGACUUUGUGAGGGUAAAAUGAAUUGCUAUAAAGUAACAAGGAAAAUAGAAAGUAGCAUAAUAUAGCUUGCAAACUAAAUUAUGUAUUUUUAAAGGUACAGUCAUCCCACUACCUGGCUAUUUCAUUACUUGGUGCUCUAGACAAGCUCCCAAGAACUGACUGGAUCUUGGCUUGUUCUGUUUCUGUCAUUGCUAAUAUAAUAUGGAAAACAUUGCUGAAAAGAACAGAGAUGGCCAUGGAUAUGGCUAGGUUAGGUAUUCAUAUCCAAAUAUCUGAACUCUAACCUAAUGUGGAUAUGAUUCUGUAGCAUUAUAUUAAAAGCUAUGAUGAUGCAAUGCAGGAAAUAACCUUUCAUUCUCCCCCCUAGAGGAUCACGACAGGUGCUUCAAUGCCUGCCUUAUCUAUGGGACAGUAGUGUGAUUCUCAGUGAGAGUGAAGGCCUUUGGGGAUUUGAGUCAGGAAGGGAACAUGGCUAAGUGCCUGGAAACUCUGCCAACAGUCUGCGGUUAGAUUCUACUUGUCUCUGGAUAAGAAAUCUGUGCUCAGUGAACUUAUGUGUUUGGAAAAUUUAACCAGAAUAUAGAGGAAGCAUAAGUCCUGUUUCAAGAGACCAGCUCACGGAGCAUGCACAUUUCUCACCAUAGGCAAGCUAUGGACAAUUCAAUCACAUGGGAUGGCCCCACUUAGGGGAAUGCAGUUCUGGGUUUCCUUGCUAUCCCUAUUCUUUUUCAGCUACAAACUCUCUUCUUUUUCAGUCUCUUCAGUUUCCUUGUGCUCCCUUUAGGAGAGGGACAAGGGUAAGAGUACCAGGCAACUCUGUCCUCCUGCAUGGACAGUUGAGACGGGCAGUAAUGGCACAGUCCUUGGUUGGGGAAGAGAAGAGGAGACAGCACAGACACUGAGACCCCCUUGUCUUCCUCAUCUGGGGGAAGGAAGGUACUCAGUGAUUCUGUCAGAAGCUCUUCACAAAGACUAUCUCUGAGGGUUUUUUUUUUUUUUUUUUCACAAGACUAGAUGGAGAAUUAAUGAAGAAGAAAUAGAAAUGAGGCUUAUUUAAGGUACAAAAUUCUUGUAUUUGUAAUAACCUAGAUUUAUAGAUAUAAAACAAGUCUUUUAAAGACUUCCCUAAAAUACUCAAUAUAAAACAGGAGUUACUUAUCCU
rnacentral:lncRNA from 1 species